UUGAUUUGGGCAUCGGCUGAUUGGUGAGAAGGGCUUCAAAUAAACAUUAUCUCUUGGUUUCUUCAUCUCCUUCAUCAAGCCCCUGAAAGCAACGGCUUUUGCUCCUCCGCCGCAUAUAUCUACUGCGAUAGCUGGAGACUGGUCGCAGAGACGUGGUUCAUCCAGGUGAUUGGAUUUAGUUAACAGUUAUCUCAACGGAGACCAUUACAGUGUUUUCGCCGGUUAUGGAUUCAGGUUUCCAGCGAUGCAGCAUCUUCGCCGGUCAAGAAAUGCCGUAUCGAUAUCGCUUCCGAUUACUCUACAAUCUCAGCUUCUGGUAGUAGUAGCAGCGCCGUCCACGUGGCUUCCGGUAACUCGAACGGUCAGGAGAUCGAUGAGGAUCUGCACAGCAGACAGUUCGCCGUGAACGGACGCGAGACGACAAGGCGUCUCUUUGCUUCAAAUGUUCUCAUCUCGGGGAUGCACGGCCUUGGCGCUGAGAUUGCGAAGAAUCUGAUUCUUGCUGGUGUGAAGCCUGUGACACUGCAUGAUGAGAAAGUGGUGGAGCUAUGGUACUUAUCUAGCAAGUCAUGACGGUGUGUAGUUCUCUUCAAUGGAGUUGAGAGAUGAUACAGUUGUGAUGCUGAGACUGAGAAUAGCAGUAAACAAAUUAUGUACUUCUGAAAUUCAAGUCAAGUCUGAAGCCGAAACUUCUGUUAAUCCAGGUUUUCCAGUUUAUGAAAGCGACUCAAUUCAUGGACAAAUGGAAGUAUGCAAAUAGACUUACACCAGAAAGAGGUGAAGAGAUUAAGAAUUUCAGGUGACAAUGGUUGGACAAAAUCGUUAAUUAUCGUUUUCUCCAGGCUUUUUUUCUUGGAAGAAGGCCUUGGAGAUGGUCAGCUUUGUGUAUUCUUCCGCAGCAGUCACUUCUACACCAUGAUGAAUGUUAGUAACUUUUUUCUUUCCCCUGUUUUUAAAAUGAUUUCAAUAUCAAGAUCUAUACACAACCGUCAAAAAGGUAAUCUUAUUUUAUCUUCUUUUUUGUACUCCUCAUUUUACAGUAUGACAAUGCAAUUUAUGAUCUGGUUACUGAUCAAUGCUAUUUGACUGA